rnacentral:rRNA from 1 species
AAUCAACGCUGGCGGCGUGCCUAACACAUGCAAGUCGAACGCGAAAGCCCCGCAAGGGGUAAGUAGAGUGGCAGACGGGUGAGUAACGCGUGGGUGACCUGCCUUCGAGUGGGGGAUAACGUCCCGAAAGGGACGCUAAUACCGCAUGACAUCCUGCCUUUGAACAGGCGGUGAUCAAAGCCGGGGCCGCAAGGCCUGGCGCUUGAAGAGGGGCCCGCGUCCGAUUAGCUAGUUGGUGAGGUAACGGCCCACCAAGGCGACGAUCGGUAGCCGGCCUAAGAGGGCGGACGGCCACACUGGGACUGAGACACGGCCCAGACUCCUACGGGAGGCAGCAGUGGGGAAUUGUUCGCAAUGGGCGCAAGCCUGACGACGCAACGCCGCGUGGAGGAUGAAGAUCUUCGGGUCGUAAACUCCUGUCGAGCGGGACGAAGAUCCGCGACCGAAUACGUCGCGGAAGUGACGGUACCGCUAGAGGAAGCCCCGGCUAACUCCGUGCCAGCAGCCGCAGUAAU